UUUUUUUUUGGGGGGGGGGUCUUUUUGCCAUUUCUAGGGCUGUUCCUGCGGCAUAUGGAGGUUCCCAGGUGUAGCUUUGAAAAGACAAAAGACAAAUAAAUAAAUAAAUAAAUAAAUAAAUAAAUAAAUAAAUAAAUAAAAUAAGCUAUCUUAAAAUGGGAUUAAAAUACUAAGAUUUUGAACCUACAACCUCACUGUCUAUACCUAAAAAUGCUGAAAAAAAUAGAAUUGCCACAUCAAAGAGUCUUCUGAUUCAAGGACGGGAGGAAUCAAAAAAAAACUGAGUGCAAUUAUAAAUAAGAAAUGAGCUUAUGAUGAAAGCUGUAUUUCCCUCAUCUUUAGAGGGUUAUAAUUUCUCUUACUGUGUCUUACACAAUGGAACAUUUUUAAAAUAUUCUUUAUGGUGCCAGUUACACUGUAAUGUCAUUUUGAGACGAAUCAUUCUAGGUAUAACGAAAAAGGAAUUGAAUAUUUUAAACUUAGAUGCAAUAAGGUCUUUAAAAGGCCAACAUUGUUUACUCUGUUGUAAUACAUGCUUUAUAUUACAUUAUAGGGUUUUUCAAACCACAAAUGAAAAAGCCACUAGAGUAUAUCAGAGGACUGGCUGAAGAAGCACACAUUAGCUGAGAGGGUUUUACAGUUGACCUUGCCAAAUGCCUACUGCACGAAAAGUCAAAAAAAGAAAUCACAGCACUUUUCCCUCUGCAAUAACACAGUAACUCAUCUAAUUAAAGAUUUAGUUGCGACGAAGUCAAUGAGGCUGAACUGAUAUUUCAUUCUGAAGAAUCCUACUUUUGCCUUACAAAUGGGUAAGUCUCCAGGAUGAUGCAGCUGCUGUUUUGAUUGCUUUUGUCUGUUAAUCAGCACAAUAAAUAAUCAACGACCGCUUUUAUGUGAAUCUUUGGUAACAAAAUACAAGAGAUGCUAAAAUAUUCAAAGUAUUGAAUAACUUUUUUGCAUCUCAAGAUUACCCUGCCACAACUGUUAACAUUUGUGCUGACAAAAGCACAAAUUAAAUGUGUUAACAUUUAAUGUGUUAAAAUGUGCUAACAUUUGUGCUGUACCAAAGCAGUGGUGGGUAACACUGCUGGUGCCUUAGUAGAAAUCAAGGCAGUGCCUCCAAACUGUGCCAGUGUCUCUCUAUCCUUUGCCUUCACUCUCUAGUUGGGGGGAAAGCCAGUUUCACUUGAGAAUGUCCUUGACAGAGCAAUAAAAAGUUAUUCUAUUAAACCCCAACCUUUAGUACACAUCAUUGUAGUAGUUUGGGUGAAAAAAUGAUGAAAUGGGAACUAUGAAUAAAGCACCAUCCACAAUGGAUGUCUUGAGGAAAGGCAUCUGGGCCAUAGUUUGAGUGGUAAACUGAAUUAGCCGUCUGGUUCAUACAACUUUAUUUUAACUUGAAAGAACUGCCAGACAAACGAUGAUUAUUCAGACUUGGCAGCUUGAUCGACAUUUUCCUGGAAAUUUUUUUUUUUUGCAUUUAUUUAUUUAUUUUUUUUAUUUUUAUUUUUUGAGUGAGACUAGUCACUUCAAGGAAAAUAAAUAACAGCAUUGUGGCCAAUGAUAAAACUCAAGCAAGCUUACAGGUAAAAUUUAGGAUUUAGGAAAAACAUGUACCCACCACCAGGAGCUUGAGGACUUCCCAAUCCUUAAAAAUGUUUCAGAAGUCAUCAACGGUGAUAUGAACCACUGUGAGUGUAAUUUUAUAUAAUGAAAUAAUUUAACAUGUGGAAACAUUUAAAAAUCUCCAGACACCAACAUUUUUCAAAUAACCAAUGCAUGAUAUUACUAUAUCAUACAUGGAGAAAAAAAUCAUUACAAGUGCAAAAUACACCAAUAAAUUUUAACGUAAUAGUUUAAAAAAUGGUUUCAGAUUUCACAUUGCAGCUAACCUCAAAGAAACUACGACUCCUCAAGUUCUGGUGCAGUACCAGAAAAUAUCCGCAAUAACCUGAAAAGGCUGUCAGAAUAGUUCUCUAUUUUCCAGGGUUCUGGUUGUGGCUCAGUGGGUUAAGAACCCGACAUAGUGUCCCUGAGGAUUUGGGUCCAAUCCCUGACCGCACUCAGUGGGUUAAGGAUCCAGCAUUGCCACAAGCUGUGGUGGGGGUUGCAGAUGCAGCUCGGAUUCCACAUUGCUGUGGCUGUGGUGUAGGCCGGCAGAUGCAGCUCCUAUUAGACCCCUAGCCUGGGAACUUCCAUAUGCCGCAGGUGUGGCCCUAAAAAGAAAAAAAAAAAAGAAAAAUACGUCUUUCUUUUCCAACUGUGUAUCUGUGUGAAGUCAUAAUCUCUUCAUGCCUUUCAACAAAAACAAUACAUUGCAAAUUGAUUGAAAGCAAAAAAAGUGAGAAUACAGCUGUCUACUAUUAAGAAACACUAGAGAUUUGCAAACAUGUAAAACAAUGUCAUUCUCACUUAAUUUUUUAUUUCAUAAAUGCACUUAUUUUUCAUAAAAUAAUUCAUAUAUUAAUCUGUCAUUGGUGUGUUAUUGUGACUUGAGUAAAUAUUUAAUCCUCAGUUUUAACAUUUACCCAUAAAGAAAAAGCACUGUGGGGUCCUCAGUAAUUUUCACAACUGUCAAGUUGUAAGUUCACAACUGAACCCAAAAAAUUUUGAGUCACUAAUCUAGAAAAUAGAAUACACUUAUUUCUUUAUAUCUAUUAUUCCUACAAAUAGUAUUAACAAUAAAACACAUCUUCUAAUAUAAUUUUUCUUUUCUGUGCAAAUUUUUUCAUAGAAAAAACAACUAUCCCUAUGGCUCAACUCCUACAAUGACUUNUUUUUUUUUUUUUUUUUUUUUUUGCUUUUUAGGGCCACAGGUGCAGC
rnacentral:lncRNA from 1 species